CCAAAAGUCUAUUCCUCCGAUACUGAUCAAAUUUCCCAAUAAUAAUAACUAUCUUAUCAAAAUAAUAUUUUGUUUUUCGACAAGUAAAUUCACUUAGAAUCUACAUGGUUAUCUAGCCUCAAGAGUAGUAAUUGAGAAGAACUAUAAAAGCUUCGAAAUAAUGGAGAAACAGCAUCAGUUUCUUUACAAACGUCUUCUUUGAGGUGUCAGUCAAACGACAAAGAGAAACAACAACAAUAAUGAAAUUUCUACACUUCAUUUUGAGCAUCUUCUUGCUCGGAGUUGCCGUAAAUGCUGUUCCAUACUUGCCAACUGCCCCACCAACUCCACCGGUUGAAAACGCUACCGCACCACCUCCGAGCAAUGGCGGUUACGUGGGACCACCAACUGAACCUCCAACCCCAAGGCCACCACCAGUCGCAACAGUUGUUCCAAUUUAUCCCUAAAUACUAAAAUGUUAUGUGAUUUGGAUUUUUGUGGUCUUAAAUAAAAGCAAAUAACCUACGGAUUAUCAUAAAAAUUGUAA